rnacentral:tRNA from 1 species
UGUCAAGGGAUGGGAAUCGAACCCUCGACCUUCCGCUUAGCAGGCAGAUGCCAUGACCACUAGGCUACCCUGGAC